rnacentral:rRNA from 1 species
GCCCUUAUGGGCUGGGCUACACACGUGCUACAAUGGCGGUGACAAUGGGCAGCGAGGUCGCAAGGCCAAGCGAAUCCCCAAAAACCGUCUCAGUUCGGAUUGUACUCUGCAACUCGAGUGCAUGAAGGCGGAAUCGCUAGUAAUCGCGGAUCAGCAUGCCGCGGUGAAUACGUUCCCAGGCCUUGUACACACCGCCCGUCACACCAUGGGAGUUGGAUUCACCCGAAGGUAGUGCGCUAAC